GAGAAAGAAGUUAAGAGCGAACGGAGGAUGCCUAGGCUAUCCGGAGGCGAUGAAAGACGUGGUAAGCUGCGAAAAGCCGCGGGGAUCUGCAAACAGGAAUUGAUCCGCGGAUAUCUGAAUGGGGCAACCCACUGGAUUGAAGAUCCAGUACACUCGUGAGAGUGGGCGAACCCGGGGAACUGAAACAUCUUAGUACCCGGAGGAAGAGAAAGAAAAGUCGAUACCCUGAGUAGUGGCGAGCGAAAGGGGCAGAGCCUAAACCGAUGUGUUUACGGACAUGUCGGGGUUGUAGGACCAUCAACAAAGAUACUUUAGGAAACCAGAACGUGUUGGAAAGCGCGACCGUAGAGGGUGACAGUCCCGUACGGGUAACCGUGAAGUAUCGAAGGUGGCACCUGAGUAGGGCGGGGCACGUGGAAUCCUGUCCGAAUCUGCGGGGACCAUCCCGCAAGGCUAAACACUCCCGGAAGACCGAUAGUGGACCAGUACCGUGAGGGAAAGGUGGGAAGCACCCCGAACAGGGGAGUGAAAUAGAACCUGAAACCGUUCGUUUACAAGCGGUCGGAGCCCGAAAGGGCGACGGCGUGCCUUUUGCAUAAUGAGCCUACGAGUUGCAUCUAUCCGGCGAGGUUAAGCACUUCAGGUGCGUAAGCCGUAGCGAGAGCGAGUCUUAAUAGGGCGUUUUAGUCGGAUGGAGCAGACGCGAAACCUAGUGAUCUACCCAUGACCAGGGUGAAGUGGCGGUAACACGCCAUGGAGGCCCGAACCAGUUUCCGUUGAAAAGGGCUUGGAUGAGUUGUGGGUAGGAGUGAAAGGCCAAUCAAACUGGGAGAUAGCUCGUACUCCCCGAAAUGUCUUUAGGGACAGCCUGGGACGGUUGCUACGUGAGGUAAAGCUACUGAUAGGAUGCGGGGGCUUCAUCGCCUGCCAAAUCCUGACAAACUCUGAAUGCGCGUAGAUACAGUCCUGGAGUGAGUCGUCGGGUGCUAAUAUCCGUCGGCGAAAGGGUAAGAGCCCAGACCAACAGCUAAGGCCCCGAAACACGGUUUAAGUUGAGACAGAACGAGGUGACAUCGCAGUGACAGCUAGGAUGUUAGCUUGGAAGCAGC
rnacentral:rRNA from 1 species